UACGUAGGGUGCGAGCGUUGUCCGGAAUUAUUGGGCGUAAAGAGCUCGUAGGCGGCUUGUCACGUCGGGUGUGAAAGCCCGGGGCUUAACCCCGGGUCUGCAUUCGAUACGGGCUAGCUAGAGUGUGGUAGGGGAGAUCGGAAUUCCUGGUGUAGCGGUGAAAUGCGCAGAUAUCAGGAGGAACACCGGUGGCGAAGGCGGAUCUCUGGGCCAUUACUGACGCUGGAGAGCGAAAGCGUGGGGAGCGAACAGG
rnacentral:rRNA from 1 species